rnacentral:rRNA from 1 species
AUUGAACGCUGGCGGAAUGCUUUACACAUGCAAGUCGCACGGCAGCACGGACUUCGGUCUGGUGGCGAGUGGCGAACGGGUGAGUAAUACAUCGGAACGUGCCCAGUCGUGGGGGAUAACGUAGCGAAAGCUACGCUAAUACCGCAUACGAUCUAAGGAUGAAAGCGGGGGACCGUAAGGCCUCGCGCGAUUGGAGCGGCCGAUGGCAGAUUAGGUAGUUGGUGGGGUAAAGGCUCACCAAGCCGACGAUCUGUAGCUGGUCUGAGAGGACGACCAGCCACACUGGGACUGAGACACGGCCCAGACUCCUACGGGAGGCAGCAGUGGGGAAUUUUGGACAAUGGGCGCAAGCCUGAUCCAGCCAUUCCGCGUGCAGGAUGAAGGCCCUCGGGUUGUAAACUGCUUUUGUACGGAACGAAAAGGCUCUGGUUAAUACCUGGGGCUCAUGACGGUACCGUAAGAAUAAGCACCGGCUAACUACGUGCCAGCCGCCGCAGUAAUAC